rnacentral:rRNA from 1 species
GGGUUGUGAGGUUAAGCGACUAAGCGUACACGGUGGAUGCCCUGGCAGUCAGAGGCGAUGAAGGGCGUGCUAAUCUGCGAUAAGCGCCGGUAAGGUGAUAUGAACCGUUAUAACCGGCGAUACCCGAAUGGGGAAACCCAGUGUGACUCGUCACACUAUCAUUAACUGAAUCCAUAGGUUAAUGAGGCGAACCGGGGGAACUGAAACAUCUAAGUACCCCGAGGAAAAGAAAUCAACCGAGAUUCCCCCAGUAGCGGCGAGCGAACGGGGAGGAGCCCAGAGCCUGAAUCAGCAUGUGUGUUAGUGGAAGCGUCUGGAAAGGCGCGCGAUACAGGGUGACAGCCCCGUACACAAAAGCGCAUGUGCUGUGAGCUCGAUGAGUAGGGCGGGACACGUGGUAUCCUGUCUGAAUAUGGGGGGACCAUCCUCCAAGGCUAAAUACUCCUGACUGACCGAUAGUGAACCAGUACCGUGAGGGAAAGGCGAAAAGAACCCCGGCGAGGGGAGUGAAAAAGAACCUGAAACCGUGUACGUACAAGCAGUGGGAGCACAGGUUUACCUGUGUGACUGCGUACCUUUUGUAUAAUGGGUCAGCGACUUAUAUUCUGUAGCAAGGUUAACCGAAUAGGGGAGCCGGAGGGAAACCGAGUCUUAAUUGGGCGUUAAGUUGCAGGGUAUAGACCCGAAACCCGGUGAUCUAGCCAUGGGCAGGUUGAAGGUUGGGUAACACUAACUGGAGGACCGAACCGACUAAUGUUGAAAAAUUAGCGGAUGACCUGUGGCUGGGGGU